GAGAUCCCUCCCAACGUGACUCA
rnacentral:siRNA from 1 species